UACGUAGGGUGCGAGCGUUAAUCGGAAUUACUGGGCGUAAAGCGUGCGCAGGCGGCUUCGCAAGUCAGGCGUGAAAUCCCCGGGCUUAACCUGGGAAUGGCGUCUGAAACUACGGAGCUGGAGUGCGGCAGAGGGAGGUAGAAUUCCACGUGUAGCGGUGAAAUGCGUAGAUAUGUGGAGGAAUACCGAUGGCGAAGGCGGUUCUCUGGGCCUGUUCUGACGCUGAGGAGCGAAAGCGUGGGGAGCGAACAGG
rnacentral:rRNA from 1 species